AUUGAACGCUGGCGGCAUGCCUUACACAUGCAAGUCGAACGGCAGCGGACCUUCGGGUGCCGGCGAGUGGCGAACGGGUGAGUAAUAUAUCGGAACGUACCUUUCAGUGGGGGAUAACGUAGCGAAAGUUACGCUAAUACCGCAUAUUCUGUGAGCAGGAAAGCAGGGGAUCGCAAGACCUUGCGCUGAUUGAGCGGCCGAUAUCAGAUUAGCUAGUUGGUGAGGUAAAGGCUCACCAAGGCCGACGAUCUGUAGCGGGUCUGAGAGGAUGAUCCGCCACACUGGAACUGAGACACGGUCCAGACUCCUACGGGAGGCAGCAGUGGGGAAUUUUGGACAAUGGGCGCAAGCCUGAUCCAGCCAUGCCGCGUGAGUG
rnacentral:rRNA from 1 species